GAUGAACGCUGGCGGCGUGCCUAAUACAUGCAAGUCGAGCGAACAGACGAGGAGCUUGCUCCUCUGACGUUAGCGGCGGACGGGUGAGUAACACGUGGAUAACCUACCUAUAAGACUGGGAUAACUUCGGGAAACCGGAGCUAAUACCGGAUAACAUGUUGAACCGCAUGGUUCAACAGUGAAAGACGGUUUUGCUGUCACUUAUAGAUGGAUCCGCGUCGCAUUAGCUAGUUGGUAAGGUAACGGCUUACCAAGGCAACGAUGCGUAGCCGACCUGAGAGGGUGAUCGGCCACACUGGAACUGAGACACGGUCCAGACCCCUACGGGAGGCAGCAGUAGGGAAUCUUCCGCAAUGGGCGAAAGCCUGACGGAGCAACGCCGCGUGAGUGAAGAAGGUCUUCGGAUCGUAAAACUCUGUUAUUAGGGAAGAACAAAUGUGUAAGUAACUAUGCACGUCUUGACGGUACCUAAUCAGAAAGCCACGGCUAACUACGU
rnacentral:rRNA from 1 species